CCUGGCCCUAGAGACACUGCAGGUGUGGCUGCCGCGUCACAUGUGUGUCAGCAGGUGGCAGAGAGGAGAGAGCCAUGUCUAAGCUCAGUGUUCAGACCUGCGAACAUCUGAAUAACAGUAGCCUAACAUU